rnacentral:rRNA from 1 species
GACGAACGCUGGCGGCGUGCUUAACACAUGCAAGUCGAACGAUGAAGCUGGAGCUUGCUCCGGUGGAUUAGUGGCGAACGGGUGAGUAACACGUGAGCAAUCUGCCCUUGACUCUGGGAUAACUGCGGGAAACUGUAGCUAAUACCGGAUACGACCCUUGGAGGCAUCUCUGGGGGUGGAAAGAAUUUCGGUCAAGGAUGAGCUCGCGGCCUAUCAGCUAGUUGGUGAGGUAAUGGCUCACCAAGGCGACGACGGGUAGCCGGCCUGAGAGGGUGACCGGCCACACUGGAACUGAGACACGGUCCAG